rnacentral:rRNA from 1 species
CGUUAGCGGCGGACGGGUGAGUAACACGUGGGUAACCUACCUAUAAGACUGGGAUAACUUCGGGAAACCGGAGCUAAUACCGGAUAACAUUUGGAACCGCAUGGUUCUAAAGUGAAAGAUGGUUUUGCUAUCACUUAUAGAUGGACCCGCGCCGUAUUAGCUAGUUGGUAAGGUAACGGCUUACCAAGGCGACGAUACGUAGCCGACCUGAGAGGGUGAUCGGCCACACUGGAACUGAGACACGGUCCAGACUCCUACGGGAGGCAGCAGUAGGGAAUCUUCCGCAAUGGGCGAAAGCCUGACGGAGCAACGCCGCGUGAGUGAUGAAGGGUUUCGGCUCGUAAAACUCUGUUAUUAGGGAAGAACAAACGUGUAAGUAACUGUGCACGUCUUGACGGUACCUAAUCAGAAAGCCACGGCUAACUACGUGCCAGCAGCCGCGGUAAUACGUAGGUGGCAAGCGUUAUCCGGAAUUAUUGGGCGUAAAGCGCGCGUAGGCGGUUUCUUAAGUCUGAUGUGAAAGCCCACGGCUCAACCGUGGAGGGUCAUUGGAAACUGGGAAACUUGAGUGCAGAAGAGGAAAGUGGAAUUCCAUGUGUAGCGGUGAAAUGCGCAGAGAUAUGGAGGAACACCAGUGGCGAAGGCGACUUUCUGGUCUG